GUGAUCACAAUCUGUAGAAUUGUAUUCCACAUUGUGCUAAAAAAUAUACACAAUUAAUAUUGAUAGUGCCUACUGAAAAACACUGCACUGUAAUUACCUACCAUCUGAAAUCGAGAAAAAGAAUUGUCCUAGUGCAAUACUAGCCCCCAAAGUGCCCCUUUAAAAGGCACUAUGAUUGUAUUGGUUUCAGUUGAAGCAUAUAUAGCUCUGAUUCUUAAAUGGGGCUAUAUUAUAUUUAUUUCAGUACUGUGAACAUUUUAUCUAUAUUACACUAACAACAAUCCCCUCCCCAAAGUAUUUACUCACUAAACAGAUUAAAAGAAUAAUCCUAAAUUGAAGCUAAAAAAAAAAGUAGCUUUAAAAAAUACUUUUUCCUUUUUUUUUUUAAACCAGCUUUGUUCUUUUGACUUAAAUUGAAUUAGUUUGGGCUUGUUGUUGCUAUUAUUAGCAUUUUAGCUAACACCAACAUACGGUAUUCCGGGGAACUUUACAUUUAUAGAAAGGGUAUUUAGUGGUGAAGAAAGUCUUGCUCACGCGAGUUUACAAUCUAUGAAAUUAUUAAUCAGAUUACAAAAUACUUGAGUCUUGUGGACAUACCAUGGUAAAACCAUAAAUUUAUUGGUUAUGAGAUUUGCCAUGUUGUCCUAAAUCUGUUUUAGUCUACUUUGUUUUAGUCUACUUUUUUUUGGAAAGGAACUGCUUUUUUGAAUGUCAUACAUUCAAUCACAUGUCUCGAGUUUCACAAAUGUGAAUGCAUUUGUUUACACGUUCUGUUUGUUUCUAAUACCAUAUUCUGGGAUCAUUUUGGUUUUUGUCAUCGUAGAACGAACAGUCAACCCAAUUUUAUUUUAAAAUAUUGCUACAGUCUUCCUAUAUAUUGACCUCUAUAUUGAUCCAUGUCUUUGGCUACUUUGUCUUGUGUAUUUUUCCUAUACUUGACAAUGGUGGAGCGUAAGGCAAACACCACUUCCUUUAUCAAGUAUAAUUUCCCACAAUAUUCGCCUCACCAUUUGUUCUUGCAAUGCUUUUCAUCACAUGACCAUUGAAGAAAGAUGUUCUUUAUGCAUGUGCCAAAAUUUAGUAUGGGCAAACAAGGGCAGAGACAAUCCAUCACUGCCAGGAUCCUGAAAAUGGCUGAGCAUGGGAAUUUCAACAAAUACCUAAUAUUUAUAAAGGCUUAUGAGUAUGUUUAUGUGCAUUUGCUAAAUGUCAUUUGUGAAAAUAAACUGAAGUGACUCCGUCUCCUUUAAAAGUAGCAAUGUAUACUACAGGGCUAUGCAAACUGACACACAAAGAACCAUAAACAAUUAUCUGUAGCUUAUGCUUUAAGCAACAAAUAUGACCCCAUCUCUUUAUGUCCUACAGCUGUAGCAAAUUUUAAAAAAACUAAAAAAAGAUGGGCCAAUCAUCUUGGAGUUACCAUUUAAAUUACAUGCUGCCUUGCUGGAUGCAUCUGUGUUGGGGCUUAGCAACCUUAAGUUAUAGAAAAUCAUCCAUUUGCAGAACCUUGUACCCAAAGAAUUAUUGCAUCUGCGAAAAAGGUCAUACUCAGGUUUAUGCUGAACUGAUUUCAUGCAGUUUGAAAUGUAAUUCAUUUUGCGUAAUCUCACCAUGUAAGACACAAAGCUGUAGAUCUGGAGAUUAAAAAUGUCAGGAUAAACGUUUCUUUUUUUAUUUUUAUUUUUUAUUCCUCCCAUUUGCCAUUGUGUUUGCUGCCUGAAACAUGAUCUCAAAAAAAAAAAAAAAAUUAAAAACAAUUUGCCACUGUAAUGAGUAUAUGAUUAAAGUUGUUACUGAGGGCCUUUGUUGCAAAUGUAUGCUUCCUUGGUGACUGGAAAAUACUUUGUUUUAUUUUUUUUUAAACAUUUUUGUUAAAGGGGCAUUCCAGGUAAUGGUGGACUGCAAUUCACAUCAUCCUCGGUUGUAUGUCUAGUUUUAGUGUCAAAGUUUUCCAACACUGGCCUGUUGUCUUAUUUAACCAUAAUUGGUUCUGGCAAAUUUGUAGUAUUUAAGUAACGAUGUAUUAAGAGAAAUGUAUCCUUUUGUAUUUUGUUUUAAUUCCUCUUUAUAUGUCAACAAAAUUUUCCCUGUCUAUAACAAAUACUGUUAGGAUAUCCAAAUUGUCAUUUUUGUUCUUUCAGUGUUUCCACUGGGCUUAUUGCUAUGUAUACAAUUUCUGUUUUUCUUUUGCAACAAAUUAUGCCAUAGCGCCCUUGUGGAUUUCUUGUAAAAGGCUAUACAGAGGUAAAACUGUUGCAGUUUUUGGGGCAAAGUGCUAAAUCACCAUGGAAUCCAGCGAAAUGUUUCUGAACACUUAGCAGUUUGCUUAGGAAUUGCACCAUUUGUACCUUGAUUAAUACAGCCUAAAAUUGUCUUGUAAGAUGCACUGAAAUACUGUUGUCCUCUACAACAUAAACUUUUGAAAUAAAGAUUUUAUGUAUGAUGUCU